ACGGAAGGCAGCAGUGGGGAAUAUUGCACAAUGGGGGAAACCCUGAUGCAGCGACGCCGCGUGAAGGAAGAAGUAUCUCGGUAUGUAAACUUCUAUCAGCAGGGAAGAAAGUGACGGUACCUGACUAAGAAGCCCCGGCUAAUUACGUGCCAGCAGCCGCGGUAAUACGUAAGGGGCAAGCGUUAUCCGGAUUUACUGGGUGUAAAGGGAGCGUAGACGGAGAGGCAAGUCUGAUGUGAAAGGCAUGGGCUCAACCUGUGGACUGCAUUGGAAACUGUUUUUCUAGAGUGCCGGAGAGGCAGGCGGAAUUCCUAGUGUAGCAGUGAAAUGCGUAGAUAUUAGGAGGAACACCAGUGGCGAAGGCGGCCUGCUGGACGGUAACUGACGUUGAGGCUCGAAAGCGUGGGGAGCAAACAGGAUUAGAUACCCUGGUA
rnacentral:rRNA from 1 species